rnacentral:rRNA from 1 species
UACGUAGGGGGCAAGCGUUAUCCGGAUUUACUGGGUGUAAAGGGAGCGUAGACGGCAUGGCAAGUCAGAUGUGAAAGCCUGGGGCUCAACCCCGGGACUGCAUUUGAAACUGUCAGGCUGGAGUGCAGGAGAGGUAAGCGGAAUUCCUAGUGUAGCGGUGAAAUGCGUAGAUAUUAGGAGGAACACCAGUGGCGAAGGCGGCUUACUGGACUGUAACUGACGUUGAGGCUCGAAAGCGUGGGGAGCAAACAGG